UGUAUCGAGACAUGAAUAGUCGAACUGAAUACAGUGGUCUAGUUUUGUGUGUAUCGGAUGUGCCGUAAAUAACGCAACGUUUCAGUCUACGGUAAUACUAUACUUGAGGUCAUCCUUGGACAGAUUUUCAAUAAGUUAAAUCCCAGACAUAAACUUUACACUAUACGGCAUUACCAAGUCCAUCCCGUUACACAUAUAUCAUACCAAUGGGGCAGUAUGGAAUAUUCAAAACCACUGAAAACAAAACAUAAAGAAAUCAAAGGCAACUACCGCGUAGAUCAUGGAAAACAACCAAAAGUUGUUAUUGAUGUCUCGCGUCUCGAGCUCUUUACACAUAUAUCAUACCAAUGGGACAGUUUCGAGAAAAACCACGGGAAACAAAACAUAUGGAAAUAGAGAGCAACUACCGCGUAGAUGAUGGAAAACAACCAAAAGUUGUUAUUGAUGUUUCGCGUCUCUAGCUCUUGUGCUGCAGAGUGUCGAGUCGUUUGUUUUGCUGGAUCUUCAUGUAUGUGCUAUAGUGGAUGUGUGAGCGGCUGUUCAUGGUGGAUGGUCAACUAGAGAUGUCUUCUACGCUCCUCUUCUUCCAAAUAAACUGUGCAAAGAUGAACCUACUCUUUUAUAGUAAAAAGGGAGCAAGUUCAUAGGCAUGGGCUAAAACCUGGACUCAUGGACGAUGGACGAUGGACGAUGGACGAUGGACGAUGGACGAUGGACGAUGGACGAUGGACGAUGGACGAUGGACGAUGGACGAUGGACAGGACCCAAUUUUUAUCAUUGAACUUUUUUACAUAAUAUCAUAUAUAGUCUUACCUCGUCUUUUAAAUUACAGUUACUUUUCUCCUUACAAAAAUAUUGCAUUGAAUUAAUGAAUGUGUUAGCUGCAUGUUUCGUGUUCAGCCUUAUUAUGCAGCGACUGCUCGGGUCGACUUUUGUCUAGUUCCUUAUCUAAUAUGGCGAUAAGGAGCUGCUUUGGCUCGUAUUCUA